rnacentral:lncRNA from 1 species
UUCAAUAAUAUAUUGAAACAAUUUUUUCUUGUUUCAUUAUCAUAACAAAAUUGUAAAAUCGAUAAUCUCCAGUAUGAGAGAAAAGGCAUGAUUCCAAGGGUAAGAAAAAAAUUAAACACAAAUUAUUAGUUGAUUACAAAAUAAUUCCAAUAAUCCCACCAAAACAAACAAAACCCAAUAAUCAAGAAACCUAAGAUAAUUAUACCAAAAUUUCACUGUAAAAUUCAAUUACAAAAGAAACCCAAACCAAGAAAAUUUAACAAAAGGAACCAAAACUAAAAAACCCUAAAACUAAUUUAACAAAAAUUAAAUUAUAGAGGCAGCGAGAACGGCGGCAACUUCAGGCAGUGGCGUCGGCAGUUUCGUGCAGCAGUGGAGGCAACGAUUUCGAGUAGUGGCAGAUCACGCAGCAUGCGCCAUUUUGUUGUUGUCGAUUCAAGACAGCGGCAGAUCACACCGGCAGAAAAAAUUAAAUUAUAGAGGCAGCGAGAACGGCGGCAACUUCAGUGGCGUCGGCGGUUUCAUGCAGCAGUGGAGGCAACGAUUUCGAGUAGUGGCAGAUCACGCAGCAUGCGCCAUUUUGUUGUUGUCGAUUCAAGACAGCGGCAGAUCACACCGGCAGAAGCUGCAGUGAAAGGCAAGAAGAAGAAGGAGAAGAAGAAGAAAAAAGAAAGAAGAAGAAGAAAGAAAGAAGAAGAAGAAGAAGAAGAUGAAGGCGAAGAAGAAGGAAAAAAGAAAGAAGAUUGAAAGAAAAAAGACGCCAAGAAGAUUGAAAGAAAGAAGAAGAAGAAGAAGAGAAGAAAAAAGGAAACGAGAGAGAGAGAGAAAAGGGGGAAAAAAGAAUGAUAAAAGAGUG